CCAUGAGCUGUCUGUCGCGGGGCGCAACACCAUGUGUGCUCCCUCCUCUGGACGCCCGGACGUGGGCGUGCGAGAUGGCAGCGGGGCGCGCGACCAUGGAGAUAGAAUACCUCCACGGGCGCGACACCCAGUGCGGCCCGGGGGGUCGUCGGGGGGGGGGGGGGGGGGUUGAUGGCCGCGGGUCGCGACUCCUGCGCGAUGUGCGCUCCCUCCUCUUGCGUGAGCGUGGGGCUGGCUGCGGGGAGUGACACCACGUGCGGUCCCUCUGUUCGCUCGGAAUGUAGAAGUCACCUGUCUGGUCCUGGCAGUACUCACGUGGUGGGAAAGUGUUGGAGCGGCGCUGUCUGGCACAGCAGGCUGUAGGGAAGCAGUUGUGUCAUUAUAUGCUGCCCAGCUCGGAGAGCAGCACUAGUGACAAAGACAACACACAAGUGUAACAUUCCCACCGCCACCACCACAGUCCACACCUCUCCUCAGAACCACCUCGGAAAAGGAUUGGUAACGAAUGUGGAUUAUUCGCAUUACGGUGUUGAUGGUGGUGGUGGUGGUGGUUCAAGCUUUACCACGACCGCCGCCGCCACCACCAUCCCCUCGUCCUCUCACCGAAGUAGAACACAGGAGACUUGCAUACGAACUGGAGGUCAUGCUUACCGAUCACCUGAAGCUGUGGAACCACCUCAUGAAUGCCAGCGAAGAACGAAAACAAGAACAAGAACAAAAAGAAGAGCGAAUUAGAAACGAAACACAGAAAGAAAAGAUAAACGAAAUAAUAAGAGGGCAUGAAAUUGGUGCAGAAGUAAAUUCUUAUUAUGCUAAACCGAGUGAAAUGGAAGAGAGGGAGGGGCGAGUUAAAAACGAAAAAGAAGAGGAGAAAGCAGCGAAAGUAGUGAUGAAUAAAAUAGUAAA